CUUAGAUGGUAAUGUCUGGAUCUAAAGAAAAAUGGAGAUAACUCUGUCACUGAAAUCUCACUUUUGAUGUUGUACAUUAGUUAAAUAUGUAAAGGCUAUUCCUUCUCCUUUCUCUCUAUAUGACCUGGGCUUGUUCACAGCAUGGCAAUACAAGACUUUUGAUUAUAGGCAGCACGGAGACAGAUGAUACUUUCAAUAUACAUCUAUUCUACUAUGAUAUUCUCAUUUAUGUCAAUUUCUACAGUAUCCUUUCUUUGAUUAAAUAGACUUCCAAAAAUGAUCCGUCUUUUCCAUUUCAUUGAUUUUUUUGAAAGCACACCUUGUUGGUUAUUGAGUACGCCUAAUUUUUCUGAUGAAUGCUUAUUUAUUGAUAACUAUUUUUAAUUUACGAUUGCAUAUAUUUGUUAUUUUUCUAAUUGAUUACAUUCUUUACCUUUGAGCAUUUACAGUUAUAAAACUUCAACUGAGAAUCAGUUUGGUCACAUUCAUUAUUAUUUAUUUUUAAAUAGUUUGUAAAUAGUGUUUUUUUAAUUUAUUUAAAAAAAUUUUCCUAGCACUGCUCCAUCAACUGAUGAAUGGAUAAAGAACCUGUGGUUUAUAUACACAAUGGAAUACUACUUGGCAAUGAGAAAGAAUGAAAUAUGGCCUUUUGUAGCAACAUGGAUGGAACUGGAGAGUGUUAUGCUAAGUGAAAUAAGUCAUACAGAGAAAGACAGAUACCAUAUGUUUUCACUCUUAUGUGGAUCCUGAGAAACUUAACAGAAGACCAUGGGGGAGGGGAAGGAAAAAAAAAGAGAGAGGGAGGGAGCCAAAUCAUAAGAGACUCUUAAAAACUGAGAAUAAACUGAGGGUCGAUGGGGGUGGGAGGGAGGGG
rnacentral:lncRNA from 1 species